AGAUAUGAGGGUGAUCAGGCUGUGACAUCUGUCACCUCCACGAUCGCCAGAAUUGAUUAGGCUGAUUUGGCUGGCCAGGCGGGUGCCCUCUUCCUCCCUCACUGCUCCAUGUGCAUCCCACCGGAAGCUUCGUGACUGGUAGACAAGGACAGCCAACCUCUGUAAAGGAAGACUGUUUCUUCUGUCAAGGGUAUGUGAGUAGCCGUGCUCCCCUGCGAGAACUUCCAAACAUGUGGGCACAUCUCUGGGCUCAAUACAUUGAGUUUGUCUUAUUUUUGUUGCCUGAGACCCAAACAAUACAU
rnacentral:snRNA from 1 species